GGCAGGCCUCCUUGAGCUGUGGUGGGCUCCACCCAGUUCGAGCUUCCUGGCUGCUUUGUUUACCUAAUCAAGCCUGGGCAAUGGCGGGCGCCCCUCCCCCAGCCUCGCUGCCGCCUUGCACUUUGAUCUCAGACUGCUGUGCUAGCAAUCAGCGAGACUCCGUGGGUGUAGGACCCUCCGAGCCAGGUGCGGGAUAUAAUCUUGUGGUGUGCCAUUUUUUAAGCCCAUCGGAAAAGCGCCGUAUUCGGGUGGGAGUGACCCGAUUUUCCAGGUGCCAUCUGUCACCCUUUUCUUUGACUCAGAAAGGGAACUUGCUGACCCCUUGCGCUUCCCAAGUGAGGCAAUGCCUCGCCCUGCUUCGGCUCACGCACAGUGCGCCCACCCACUGACCUGCGCCCACUGUCUGGCACUCGCUAGUGAGAUGAACCCGGUACCUCAGAUGGAAAUGCAGAAAUCACCCGUCUUCUGCGUCGCUCAGGCUGGGAGCUGUAGACCAGAGCUGUUCCUAUUCGGCCAUCUUCUGGUGCUACAUUUUAAAAGAGAAAGAAAAACUACAUAUACAGUAAGACAUUCUGUGCUGGGAGGAGAGCAGAGGAUCCAGGGAGCAGAUUGCAGGGAGCUUCACUGAAGCAAGAUGACCGUGAUGCUGGAGAAGAGCCCUUGAGAUGGAACAGGACAAUUCAAUGAGGUUUCUGCAUCACAGAAUGAGAAGUGAGCUUCAGAAGAACAGAGGAACUCCACAUAACAAGCUCAGUGGCACAUAAUAAGCUCUAAAACAAAUAAGUGAACAAACCUCAGACUUAUUAUUUGUAAUUGUUAGUGCUUCUAACCCCCAAUGCACUACUCUUCCCUUUAUGUUAUGCUCUGUAUUUUCAGAAAUUAUUACAAUUUGAAAUACCACUUGCUGAUGAGAGAACAUCUGUGGUGUGUGCUUAGGUUUUCCUUCCAGACAUCUGGCAGUAUCCAUGAUUUUCAAUAUCCGAGUAGCCUAAGACAGUUCAUUUUUGAACUCUAGUGCUCCUUGGAGGAAAACAAAUGAAUUUGCUUUUUUUUUUCGAACAGGCUUUGUUCCUAACUCACCAAAAGGACAGCAUAUACACAGGCACACAUGCGCACACACAGGCACACACGCACACGUUUAUACAUACGUGAACACAGGUGCAUGCACACACAUAGGCACACACACGUGUGUAAACAGGUCAUGCACACACAAGGCACACACUCACACAUGCAUACGCACGUGAACACAGGCCCAGGCACACACACGUGUAUACACAAGUGAACACAGGCACAUGAACACACAACACGUACACAUGCAUACACACGUGAACACAGGUGCAGGCACACACACGUGUGACACGUGAACACAGGCGCAUGCACACACACGGGCACACACUCACGUUUAUACAC
rnacentral:lncRNA from 1 species